UAGCCAUUAGAAAUAGUGGAUAAUACCGAAUACGCUCAUGACCCUGUGGGGAUAUGAGGAAAACAGGCUACGGCCUGGCUCGAGGAUGGGCCCGCGUCCCAUUAGCUAGUUGGUGAGGUAACGGCCCACCAAGGCGACGGAUGGGUAUCCGGCCUGAGAGGGUGUACGGACACAUUGGGACUGAGAUACGGCCCAAACUCCUACGGGAGGCAGCAGCUAAGAAUAUUCCGCAAUGGACGAAAGUCUGACGGAGCGACGCCGCGUGGAUGAAGAAAAGGGCCGGAAGGUUGUAAAAUCCUUUUGCUGAUGAAGAAUAAGUGUGGUAGGGAAUGACCGCAUGAUGACAUUAGUCGGUGAAUAAGCCCCGGCUAACUACGUGCCAGCCGCUGC
rnacentral:rRNA from 1 species